AAAUUGAAGAGUUUGAUCAUGGCUCAGAUUGAACGCUGGCGGCAGGCCUAACACAUGCAAGUCGAGCGGAAACGAGCUAUCUGAACCUUCGGGGAACGAUAACGGCGUCGAGCGGCGGACGGGUGAGUAAUGCCUAGGAAAUUGCCCUGAUGUGGGGGAUAACCAUUGGAAACGAUGGCUAAUACCGCAUAACGCCUACGGGCCAAAGAGGGGGACCU
rnacentral:rRNA from 1 species